rnacentral:rRNA from 1 species
UACGUAGGGGGCUAGCGUUGUCCGGAAUCAUUGGGCGUAAAGAGCGCGUAGGCGGCCAGAUAAGUCCGGUGUGAAAACUCGAGGCUUAACCUCGAGAUGUCAUCGGAAACCAUUUGGCUAGAGUCCGGAAGAGGAGAGUGGAAUUCCUGGUGUAGCGGUGAAAUGCGCAGAUAUCAGGAAGAACACCAAUGGCGAAAGCAGCUCUCUGGGACGGUACUGACGCUGAGACGCGAAAGCGUGGGGAGCGAACAGG